rnacentral:rRNA from 1 species
ACACAUGCAAGUCGAACGGUAACAUUUCUAGCUUGCUAGAAGAUGACGAGUGGCGGACGGGUGUGUAAUGCUUGGGAACUUGCCUUUGCGAGGGGGAUAACAGUUGGAAACGACUGCUAAUACCGCAUAAUGUCUUCGGACCAAACGGGGCUUCGGCUCCGGCGCAAAGAGAGGCCCAAGUGAGAUUAGCUAGUUGGUAAGGUAACGGCUUACCAAGGCGACGAUCUCUAGCUGUUCUGAGAGGAAGAUCAGCCACACUGGGACUGAGACACGGCCCAGACUCCUACGGGAGGCAGCAGUGGGGAAUAUUGCACAAUGGGGGAAACCCUGAUGCAGCCAUGCCGCGUGUGUGAAGAAGGCCUUCGGGUUGUAAAGCACUUUCAGUUGUGAGGAAAAGUUAGUAGCUAAUACCUGCUAGCCGUGACGUUAACAACAGAAGAAGCACCGGCUAACUCCGUGCCAGCAGCCGCGGUAAUACGGAGGGUGCGAGCGUUAAUCGGAAUUACUGGGCGUAAAGCGCACGCAGGCGGUUUGUUAAGCUAUAUGUGAAAGCCCCGGGCU